GCAUGGGCAAGGACUUCAUGUCUAGAAUCAAUUUCUUUAAUAGCUAUAGGUCAGUUCAGGCUUUCUGUUUUUUCUGCUGUCAGGUUUGGUAAAUUGUCCUUUUUGAGACAUUUGUCCAUUUUUCCAGCUAAUCAAAUUUAUUGCAAUAAAAUUGUUCAUAAAAUUAUCUUAUAUUUCGAUAUCUGUAGGAUCUAUAGCUCUGUUCUUUCCAUUCCUGUUAUUGGUAAAUUCUUUUUCUUUAUUUUAUGAUUGAUCAUAUAUGCAGCAAAUAAUUUUAUAAAUUUUUUGAACUUUUGACUCUUGAUUUACUGUUUUACAUUUUUAAAAAGAUUUAACUGAUUUCUGCUUUUAUGGUCUUUUUUCUUCUUUCCUUAUGUUAAAUUCACUCUUCCUUUUCUAGCAUUCUAAGAUGGAAACUUACUCGAAUAUGUACAUUUAAGGCUAGAUCAUUCCGUCUAAGCACCACUUUACCUCCAUCCUACCAGUCUUGACAUGUGUUAAUAAUAUUACUCAAUUAUUUUCUAGUUUCUAUUUUUAUUUCAUCUUAGACCUCUGAAUUAUGUUAAACUGCAUUGUUAAAUUUUUAGUGGGGGUGUUUUUCUUGUCAUUUUGUUAUUAAUUUCUACCUCAAUUCCAUGAUAAUCAGAUAACAUACUCUGAAUGAUGUCAAUCAUUUGAUAUUUACUGAUGCUUUUUUAUGGCUCAGUAUAUGGUUAUUUAUGAUACAUGUUUUAUGGCGUUGUUGGGUGUGAUCACAUGCCAAUUACAUCAAGCUUUUUAACUGUGUCAUUCAGGUCUCCUACGUGCUCACUGGUCCUCUGAAUUUCAUUGUUCUAUCAGCUAUUCAGAGAGUUGUAUUAAAGCCUCCCACUAUGAUUGUGAAAUUGACUAUCUUUUGGUUCUUAAUUUUUUUUUUUUUUUUUGAGACAGUCUCACUCUGUCACCCAGGCUGGAGUGCAAUGGCACAAUCUUGGCUCACUGUAAAACUUCCACCCCCCAGGUUCAAACGAUUCUUCUGCCUCAGCCUCCUGCGUAGCUGGGAUUACAGGCGCCCACCACUUUGCCCAGCUAGUUUUUGUAUUUUUAAUAAAAACGGGGUUUCACCAUGUUGGCCAAGCUGGUCUUGAACUCCUGAACUCUGCCCACCUUGGCCUCCCAAAGUGCUGGGAUCACAGGUGUGAACGACUGUGCCCGGCCUUGGUUCUUCAAUUUUUUGUUUUAUAUAUUUUGAAGCUGUUGGUAAGAGCAUACAGAUUUAGUACUGUGAUAUUUGUAAGAUAGGUACUUUUUAUAAUAAAAAGAACAUCUUUAUAAUAAAGCAACGCAUCUUGGCUUAAAAAACAGUUUGUCUAAUAUUAGCAUAGCUACAUCAGCUUUUUUGGGUUAGUGUUCACGUGGUGUAUAUGUGUGUGUGUAUAUGUGUGUGUAUAUAUGUGUGUGUGUGUGUGUGUGUGUGUGUGUGUAUCCUUUACUCUCCACCUUUCUGUGUUUCUAUAUUUUAAUUAGGACUCCCGUGAGAAGAAGAGAUUUGAGUUUCUUUUUUAUUUAGUCUGGAAAUAUCCUACUAAUUAUAUUAGCAAUAUUGACAUAAUGUGGUUUAUAUAUAAAUGUACUAUUCAUUUUCUAUUUGGCCCAUAUAUUUUUUGUCCCUUUCUGCCUUUUCUUAACUUCUUUUGGAGUAGUCAAAUAAUUUUUCUUAAUCCAUAUCAUCCAUCUAUCCACUUAGUUAUACUUUACAAUUAUUUUAACCACUUCUCUGAUAUUGGCAAAAACUUAGAAUCUUUGGCUUCUAUUCACCAACCCCCACCUUUUAUGUUUUUGUUGUUAUGCAUUUUAAUUCUAUAUAUAUUUUAAAUUUCAUGAGACACAGUUAUUGCCUUGUACAAUAAAUAUUCAUUUAUAUUUACCACACAUUUUCUCUUUUUUUUCCUUUUCAUCCUGCAUAUUAUAGUUCCAUCCUGGAUCAUUUUUCUUCUACCAGAAUAACUGUCUUUUAUUAUUCUUUUAACGCAGGCCUGUUGGCAACAAAUGCCCUCAGUUCUCAUUUGCUUCAAAAUGUUUUUAUUUCACUAUAUUUUUUGAAGCAUAUUUUACUGAGUUAAGAUUCUAGAUUGUGUCUUAUUUUUCUUUCAUCAUUUCAAAGUUGUUAUUAAAUUACUUCCAGCUUUCAUCAUUUCUGUUGAGAAGUCAGCUGUCAUUUCUAUUGUUGUUUUUUGGAAGGUAAUGUGUCUUUUUUUUUGCUUCUGGAUGCUUUUAAGAUUUUCUCUUCACUUUUCAACAGUUUUACUAGGAUUUGCCUGCUUGUGGUUUUGCUUGUGUUUCUCUUGCUUGAGGUUCUGAGUUUUUUAAACAUGGGGAUCGAUAUUCAUAAGUUUUGAAAAAUACUAAUUUGGUAUUUCUAAAAUAUUGAUUUUGUCUUAUGUUUCUCUUCUCUUUCUGAAACUAUAAUACUAUAUAUAGAGUACAUAUACACACAUAUAUAGUAUUAUGUGAUACACAUUAUGAAUAUGUCCCAUGUGGCUCUUAUGCCAUGUACGUUUUCUUUUUUUGUCUCUGGGCACUUGACUUCUCUUCUAGUGUUAAAAUUUUGUAUUCUGCUGUGUCUAAUCUGCUGUUGAAACUACCCAUUUCAUUAUUAAUUUCAAACAUGUUUUUUUGAAUUCUACAAAUUCUAUUGACUCUUUGUAAUUUACAGUUUUUUUUGAAGUUCUGAAUCUUUUCAUUCAUUCUGUCCACCCUGCCUCCAUUUUAUUUAAUUUAUGGUUAUUCUAAAGCUCCUGUCUGCUACCUCCAAUAUCGGAAUCCUAUGUGAUUCUGGCUCCAUUCAUGACUUAAAGUCUACUUUGCUGCACCAGCUUUCUCUUGGUUAGUGUUUACAUCAUUUCUUUCCUGUAUUUUACUUUCAAAGUUUUUGUGCUCUUAUUUUUAGAAUACACAAGUAACAUAUGCUUUUCUUUUAAAAUCCAUACAGGCAUUGUUAAUAUCUAGAUCGUAAAGUUAUAUUUUUUCACUUCUUUGUAUAGUUAGUAAUUUUUACAUGUUUAAUCUUAAUGAAAUUUAAUACAUUUAAAUACUUACCACUGUGUAUUUAGAAAGAGAACAAGAAUGGAGGUUCCACAUGUUGCCUUCCACCAUAGCAGAGCCCUCUGUGCUCUACUGUGUGGAUAAAUUCAAAGAAUGAUCAUUUCCAUCCAAUCAGGGAUUUAGCUGGGUUAUGGCUGGUUUUGCAGUCAAACCUCAGAUAAACUCAGUCUUCCUCUCAUGAUGCUUAUUUUCUGGGCAUGUCCUUGCAACCUCCUCACAGAGAAACUGGCAGGUGUCAAACACCUUCACCUUGAAGAUCUGCAGGAGAUUCGGGGUUCCCAGCCUUUUCCCCCAGGCAGCUUCAUCCUGGUGCCUGUCUUGAGCAGCAGGUGACUGGUGAUCCUGAUGCAGAUUCCUCCAUUGAUGGGUCUUUGUUCCCUCAGCAUUGGAGGCUGCAAGGUUCUUCCCUUUGACAUUUAGGUAACAGUCUAGCUGUCCAGACGCCCAUACAGCUUGAAAUUGGGCACUUGGGUCUCUCAAGUUUCUAGUUUCUCUUCCAGACCCACACAACUCCACUCCUAAAAGCCUUACUGGCUUCUCUCUGCCCCUGCAGGUGAUCUCUUUCUUUCCGGACCAAGUCUGAUUCUCAGCCCAGAGACAGGAUUGACAAAUGUCCCCCAGGGGACAGGAGGGACGAAAACCUGUUAGCAGUGACAGCUCAUUUCAUAAUAGUGAUGAUUCCUUGAAAUUUCAGUUGAUUUAGUCCUCAUCGGUCCCACAGUUUUCCUAUGCUUUUAAAAAAUUCCUAUGAUUAAAAAAAAUUGAUCUAGCUUUUUUUCUGGGUGGGAGCGCUGGUCUACCAUAAUUUACAGCAUCCUACCCAGGAGUGAAAAUCCAAACAUUAUUUUUAAAAUACGAACUGGAAAGAAAAAUCAUCUACUCCCAAGUCUAUAGUAUCCAUCGGGACUUUUGCUUCAACACUCAUGACAGUAAUCUUUUGUAAAAUGCAACAUUUUCCCUUUCAAAUAUUAGUUAUAAGUAUGACCCAUCUAUUCUCUUAAAGGACAUCCUGCGGAACAGAAAAAAACGGAUCUAGGUUUUUGUUGUUGUUGUUGUGCACUGAAGGAGGAAGCAAGUGUAAGGCUGCAGUCUGACCC
rnacentral:lncRNA from 10 species